ACGCCUUAUACAUGCAAGUCGAACGAAGUAGCAAUACUUAGUGGCAGACGGGUGAGUAACAUGUGGGUAUCUUCCCUUUGGUGAGGAAUAACACGAGGAAACUUGUGCUAAUACCUCAUAAGUCUUUACGGAGAAAGCUUUAUGCGCCAAUGGAUGAGCCCGCACUUGAUUAGUUUGUUGGUAGGGUAAUGGCCUACCAAGACUGUGAUCAAUAGCUGAUCUGAGAGGAUGAUCAGCCACAUUGGGACUGAGACACGGCCCAAACUCCUACGGGAGGCAGCAGUAGGGAAUAUUGCACAAUGGAGGAAACUCUGAUGCAGCGAUGCCGCGUGAGUGAAGAAGGCCCUUGGGUUGUAAAGCUCUUUCGUCGGGGAAGAAAAUGACUGUACCCGAAUAAGAAGGUCCGGCUAACUUCGUGCCAGCAGCCGCGGUAAUACGAAGGGACCUAGCGUAGUUCGGAAUUACUGGGCUUAAAGAGUUCGUAGGUGGUUAAAAAAGUUGGUUGUGAAAUCCCGAAGCUUAACUUCGGAACUGCAAUCAAAACUUUUUAGCUAGAGUUUGAUAGAGGAAAGCAGAAUUUCUAGUGUAGAGGUGAAAUUCGUAGAUAUUAGAAAGAAUACCGAUUGCGAAGGCAGCUUUCUGGAUCAUUACUGACACUGAGGAACGAAAGCAUGGGUAGCGAAGAGGAUUAGAUACCCUCGUAGUCCAUGCUGUAAACGAUGUGUGUUAGACGUUGGAAAUUUAUUUUCAGUGUCGCAGCGAAAGCAGUAAACACACCGCCUGGGGAGUACGAC
rnacentral:rRNA from 1 species